AGUGAACGCUGGCGGUAGGCCUAACACAUGCAAGUCGAACGGCAGCACAGUAAGAGCUUGCUCUUACGGGUGGCGAGUGGCGGACGGGUGAGGAAUACAUCGGAAUCUACUUUUUCGUGGGGGAUAACGUAGGGAAACUUACGCUAAUACCGCAUACGACCUACGGGUGAAAGCAGGGGAUCUUCGGACCUUGCGCGAUUGAAUGAGCCGAUGUCGGAUUAGCUAGUUGGCGGGGUAAAGGCCCACCAAGGCGACGAUCCGUAGCUGGUCUGAGAGGAUGAUCAGCCACACUGGAACUGAGACACGGUCCAGACUCCUACGGGAGGCAGCAGUGGGGAAUAUCGGACAAUGGGCGCAAGCCUGAUCCAGCCAUACCGCGUGGGUGAAGAAGGCCUUCGGGCUGUAAAGCCCUUUUGUUGGGAAAGAAAAGCAGCAGGUUAAUACCCCGCUGUUCUGACGGUACCCAAAGAAUAAGCACCGGCUAACUUCGUG
rnacentral:rRNA from 1 species